ACAGCGGAGAGUUUGAUCCUGGCUCAGGAUGAACGCUAGCGGCAGGCUUAACACAUGCAAGUCGAGGGGCAUCGGGAGGGAAGCUUGCUUUCCUUGCCGGCGACCGGCGCACGGGUGAGUAACACGUAUGCAACCUGCCCUCUUCAGGGGGACAACCUUCCGAAAGGGAGGCUAAUCCCGCGUAUAUCGGUUUCGGGCAUCCGUUAUCGAGGAAAGAUUCAUCGGAAGAGGAUGGGCAUGCGGCGCAUUAGCUAGACGGCGGGGUAACGGCCCACCGUGGCGACGAUGCGUAGGGGUUCUGAGAGGAAGGUCCCCCACACUGGUACUGAGACACGGACCAGACUCCUACGGGAGGCAGCAGUGAGGAAUAUUGGUCAAUGGGAGAGAUCCUGAACCAGCCAAGCCGCGUGAGGGAAGACGGCCCUAUGGGUUGUAAACCUCUUUUGUCGGAGAACAAAACCCGGGACGUGUCCCGGACUGCGUGUAUCCGAAGAAAAAGCAUCGGCUAACUCCGUGCCAGCAGCCGCGGUAAUACGGAGGAUGCGAGCGUUAUCCGGAUUUAUUGGGUUUAAAGGGUGCGUAGGCGGUCCGUUAAGUCAGCGGUAAAAUUGCGGGGCUCAACCCCGUCGAGCCGUUGAAACUGGCAGACUUGAGUUGGCGAGAAGUACGCGGAAUGCGCGGUGUAGCGGUGAAAUGCAUAGAUAUCGCGCAGAACUCCGAUUGCGAAGGCAGCGUACCGGCGCCAGACUGACGCUGAGGCACGAAAGCGUGGGGAUCGAACAGGAUUAGAUACCCUGGUAGUCCACGCAGUAAACGAUGAAUGCUGGUUGUCCGGGUCGAAUGAGACCUGGGCGGCGAAGCGAAAGCGAUAAGCAUUCCACCUGGGGAGUACGCCGGCAACGGUGAAACUCAAAGGAAUUGACGGGGGCCCGCACAAGCGGAGGAACAUGUGGUUUAAUUCGAUGAUACGCGAGGAACCUUACCCGGGCUCAAACGGGAGUGGAAUGGACCAGAGACGGUUCAGCCUACGGGCCGCUUCCGAGGUGCUGCAUGGUUGUCGUCAGCUCGUGCCGUGAGGUGUCGGCUUAAGUGCCAUAACGAGCGCAACCCCCGCCGGCAGUUGCUAACGGGCAAUGCCGAGGACUCUGCCGGGACUGCCGCCGCAAGGCGUGAGGAAGGCGGGGAUGACGUCAAAUCAGCACGGCCCUUACGUCCGGGGCGACACACGUGUUACAAUGGGCGGUACAGCGGGAAGCCAGGCGGCGACGCCGAGCGGAACCCGAAAGCCGUUCUCAGUUCGGAUCGGAGUCUGCAACCCGACUCCGUGAAGCUGGAUUCGCUAGUAAUCGCGCAUCAGCCAUGGCGCGGUGAAUACGUUCCCGGGCCUUGUACACACCGCCCGUCAAGCCAUGGGAGCCGGGGGUGCUUGAAGUGCGUCGCCGUGAGGCGCGCCCUAGAGCAAAACCGGUGACUGGGGCUAAGUCGUAACAAGGUAGCCGUACCGGAAGGUGCGGCUGGAACACCUCCUUUCUG
rnacentral:rRNA from 2 species